rnacentral:lncRNA from 1 species
GUCCAGUGCCCUAAUCAUGGGUGAGGGCCUUUCUAUCCCGGUUGAUUACAAAACCAUGUUCAUAGCUCUAAGAAGGCAAACAUGUUUCUCACUUCUUUCCAUAAAACUUCAUUCUUUAAUGCAUCAAAACUUUCACUAGAAGAUAUUGUUUUGAUACCCAAAUAUCUUCAAAUUGAUCAUCUCGACAUCAAGAUGCAUGGACAUGAGAAAAAAAUAGAUUUUAAAUUUUGGAAAUAAUGUAUUUUGUAACACAUUUUUGGACCAUCAAUUUUCAAGUUUUCAUAGAUCUGUCG